rnacentral:rRNA from 1 species
UACGUAGGGUGCAAGCGUUAAUCGGAAUUACUGGGCGUAAAGCGUGCGCAGGCGGUUGUGCAAGACCGAUGUGAAAUCCCCCGGGCUCAACCUGGGAACUGCAUUUGUGACUGCAUGGCUGGAGUGCGGCAGAGGGGGAUGGAAUUCCGGCGUGUAGCAGUGAAAUGCGUAAAUAUGCGGAGGAACACCGAUGGCGAAGGCAAUCCCCUGGGCCUGCACUGACGCUCAUGCACGAAAGCGUGGGGAGCAAACAGG